ACGGGAGGCAGCAGUGGGGAAUAUUGGGCAAUGGGCGAAAGCCUGACCCAGCAACGCCGCGUGAAGGAAGAAGGUCUUCGGAUUGUAAACUUCUUUUAUGAGGGACGAAGGACGUGACGGUACCUCAUGAAUAAGCCACGGCUAACUACGUGCCAGCAGCCGCGGUAAUACGUAGGGGGCAAGCGUUAUCCGGAUUUACUGGGUGUAAAGGGAGCGCAGGCGGUAACGCAAGCCAGAGGUGAAAACCCGGGGCUCAACCCCGAGGAUUGCCUUUGGAACUGUGGAACUGGAGUGCUGGAGGGGCAGGCGGAAUUCCUGGUGUAGCGGUGAAAUGCGUAGAUAUCAGGAGGAACACCGGUGGCGAAGGCGGCCUGCUGGACAGUAACUGACGCUGAGGCUCGAAAGCGUGGGGAGCAAACAGGAUUAGAUACCCUGGUA
rnacentral:rRNA from 1 species